rnacentral:rRNA from 1 species
GUGGGGAAUAUUGGACAAUGGGCGCAAGCCUGAUCCAGCCAUACCGAGUGGGUGAAGAAGGCCUUCGGGUUGUAAAGCCCUUUUGUUGGGAAAGAAAUCCUGUCGGUUAAUACCUGGCGGGGAUGACGGUACCCAAAGAAUAAGCACCGGCUAACUUCGUGCCAGCAGCCGCGGUAAUACGAAGGGUGCAAGCGUUACUCGGAAUUACUGGGCGUAAAGCGUGCGUAGGUGGUGGUUUAAGUCCGUUGUGAAAGCCCUGGGCUCAACCUGGGAAUUGCAGUGGAUACUGGAUCACUAGAGUGUGGUAGAGGGAUGCGGAAUUUCUGGUGUAGCAGUGAAAUGCGUAGAGAUCAGAAGGAACAUCCGUGGCGAAGGCGGCAUCCUGGGCCAACACUGACACUGAGGCACGAAAGCGUGGGGAGCAAACAGGAUUAGAAACCCGGGUAGUCC